rnacentral:tRNA from 1 species
GAGGCUUUAGCUUAAUUAAAGUGUCUGAGUUGCAUUCAGAGGAUGCGUAGUAAGGUCACGCAGGUCUUC